rnacentral:lncRNA from 1 species
CUGUGUCUCAAACAUAUGGUUGUAUUUCUAAUUUAUUCCAGAGGCCUGAGUUAGCCUUCUAUUUUAAAAAAUAAUUUCCCUCUUUUUUAAAUUCUAGCCUUUCUAAUUCUUCUCUAAUGUUCGAGAAACACAUUCUUUUGUAGUUUGUGAUUGGCUUUUAUUUGUGAGUUUGUAUUACUUGCAGGGUUUGUAAUGUCAGAAACCUGUUUUAACAUGUGGUCAAGAGAAGAGAGUAACACCUUAAUUGUAGGUGGAAUGCAUUUUUUACACAGUGACUUUAUCGAGUGUGUUGAAUGUCUAUAUUAUACAUGUAAGUGUGCUUCCCCAGAGGAGAAGCCUUGUAAGGUGAGUAAGCUCUUGAAGACCUCAUGAUGUUGAAUAUAUGGACGAUAUAAUAGUAAACCACAAUAAAGUCAUAGAAACAUGUGAUUGACAUAUGUAUGUUACAAACACUGAGUCCUCUGAGGUCAAGGCUGACACGCUCUGGGUGCAGAGUGGGUUGGAGGGGAGAGAAUUUGGAGGAGAAGAGACUACUGAGAAAGCCUUGUCAGUAGUUCUGUCAUGAAAUUUAGGUUCCUAGAUGUUGAAACAUUUACUCUUUUUUUUUUUUUUUUUCAGAGAGAGGGAGCAUGCAUACAUGCAUCAGCAAGCAGGUGGAGGGGCAGAGGGAGAAGGAGAGAGAAUCUCAAGCAGGCUCCACGCUCAACACAGAGCCUGAUGUGGGGCUCAGUCUUACGACCCAGAGAUUAUGACCUGAGCUGAAAUGAAGAGUCAGAUGCUUAACCGACUGAGCCACCCAGGCACCCCUUACUCAUUUUUUAAAACAGAGCUAAUCUACAGAUUGAAAUCACUGGUUUCUAGUUCAGUGAAAGAAAAUGUAAUGGCAUUGCCACAAAUGAAAAGAUCAUACAGAAUCUUAAACUCAAAGAUCAUACUCAGUAAAGAAAUGAAAUCAGAAUGCUCUUCUGGAAAGAGGAAAUCAAAAUGGGAACAUGUCCAUCUCUUUGCAAUGCAGGCCAGAAAUAUGGGAAGGCCUGGACCUCGUGGGAUCUGCUUACAGAGUAAGGCACAAUAAAUCAAGCCUUCCUGUGCAUUUUCUGUGCUUUUGUCAAAGCUAUUUCCUGGCUAUCAGUAUUUUCAUGUUUCAUACCUGCUUGAGUGCCAUUUGCAGUUUUUAAUGUUUGCUCUGAGUCUGAUCUUUACUUCUUUUUUUUUUUUAAUAUUUUAUUUAUUUAUUCAACAGAGAGAGAGACAGCCAGGGAGAGGGGGAACACAAGCAGGGGGGAGAAGGAAGCAGGGAGAGGAGGAAGCAGGCUCUCAGCAGAGGAGCCCGAUAUGGGGCUUGAUCCCAGGACCCUGAGAUCAUGCCCUGAGCCAAAGGCAGACACUUAACGACUGAGCCACCCAGGUGCCCCUGAUCUUUACUUCUUAAUCUAGUUAAGGAAGUAUAGGGGUUUUCCCCCCAUCAUACUAGCCAAGGCUUUCUUCUCUAUUUCUUUCUUUCCCUCUCCUUCCUUCCUUCCUUCCUCUCUUUCUCUUCUUUCUUUCUUUCUUUCUUUCUUUCUUUCUUUCUUUCUUUCUUUCUUCCUUUCUCUUUCUUUCUUUUUUUCUUUUCUUUUCUUUUCUUUUCUUUUCUUUUCUUUUCUUUUCUUUUCUUUUCUUUUCUUUUCUUUCUUUCUCUUAUCUGAUCUUCCUGUAGGUACCAAUAGGACAUUUGUUUAGGAUGAGAGCUCUCUUAAAAAUCCUUUUAGAUAUAAAAGUCCGAAUCUUUAAAGGUAUAUCUACUUCAAUUGUGACUCCAAACCAAUAAGCCUUUUAUGGCUUAACCAUAGACACGGAGAGAGUGCAAAUGAUAUGACCCUCUCAAGAUGCAGAGCCACUCCAAAGAUAGCUUAAGAAAGCAAAGAGCCUCACUGUCACAGGUGGUAAAGAAAGUUCUAUCUCCCACAAAGGAGACACUUUAGUCCUACAGAUCUAUGAAUCUUUGUUUCAGCCCCAGCUGAAACCCUAAAAGAGUAGAAAGAAGGCAAAUUUUCUCCUCCUGUAGUUUCUGGUGAUGAGGAUGGGAGAGGGGAAGUCUGGAAAACUCUUCUCUCCCUAGAGACUGCAGUUGAUGUAUGGGGAACUGACGACAGAUCAGCAGAAGGUAAGAGUCCUUACCAUGUCAGUCUCCCAGCUCUCUGACUAUAGUGCCCAGACAAGAGAGGAGUAUAAAAUUUUCUUGUCUCUUCCUUUCCAGAUUCAUAAUGGCAGGAGAAUAACGUUUGUAAAAACAGGUCUCGAAUCAUGACUACUGUGAAUUUAGUUUUGGGUACCUACAGGUUAUUGAUUCUUCACCUCCCAGAAAUAGUCGUGUUUUCCUUUGUCUGACUUCUGUAUUGUUUGUCAUAAGGAUAAAAAUCAUAAGAUGAGACUCUUCAUUUGUCUUGUUUCAGGUACUGAGAACCUAGCUUUGUAACUAGUGAGAACAUUCUCUCUGGUCUCUGCCACCUUUGCGGGGGAAGGGGAGGAGUGCAUGUUGUCAGACUUGCACAGGGCAGCAGGCUGGCUAGCAGGCUAGGAGGCUGUUGCUGUCUCUAUUAUCCUUUCCUCGUUUGUGCUAGGAAAAUUCCUAUUCCAGUAUCACAUUCUGGUAACACAGAUUCAUGGAUCUGUAGAACUAAAGUGUCUCCUUUGUGGGAGAUAGAACUUUCUUUACCACCUAUGACAGUGGGGCUCUUUGCUUUCUUAAGCUAUCUUUGGAGUGGCUCUGCAUCUUGAGAGGGUCAUAUCGUUUGCGCUCUCUCCGUGUCCAUGGUUAAGCCAUAAAAGGCUUACUGAUUUUAAGCCAUAAAAAGGCUUAUUGGUUUGGAGUCACAAUUGAAGUAGAUAUACCUUUAAAGAUUUGGACUUUGAUAUCUAAAACAAGAGAGAUUAGCAAGAGAAAAGUAAGUUUAGGAACAUGGAUAUCUUAUAUAUAUUUGAGAGAAACCCAGGGAUGAGUAACUCAAAGAGGUAGCCAGAAUUUGGGCUUACAUACCAUCUUAACCAAAGAACAAUACAUUUUUAGAAGAAUGACAAGACAGAGGAAAAGAGUUUUAGGCUUCUAAGGGCAGCAAACUGUGGGAAGAUAAAUAUUUAGUGGCCACUGGAAGAUAAUAGCUAGUCAGUAAAAUUUGUUAUGUGAGGUCCUGUGAUGCUGUCUUGGGAGUGAUAAGCAUGUAGAUUUGUCAGUGAUUAACUCCCGUACAAACCUAGGUGGUUCUGUUUUCAGGUAUAUAGGGGGAGGGCAGGGAGAUUUUUUGGAUCUGCUUCUUCUCAGUUGCCUUCAGUUCAAAAUAAUCCUUGUGCCAAAGGGAAGAUUUUCAGGUGGCAUAUUCUGCUACUGUUCUUUAGGUUUGAUUAUAAAAUUCCCUUGCUUUAAAACGACCCCUUAUGUUCUAAGAUCAAAAUGUGAGAUAAGGCAUUGUCAAAAAGUUAGAAACAUUGUUCACAUGAGGCUUAUUUAUAAUAGUAAAACACUGAUUUAUAAGCAAAAAAUGCAUAAUAGCAACAAAAAGUUUAGAGUGGGAUAUGGCUGAGCAAUAUGGUAUCAUGCUAUAUACCCAUUAAAAUGAUAGAUAACAUGUUAUGUGCUUUUGGGGAAAGAGUAUAAAAAAUAAUUUUGAGUGAAAAAGAUGAAGACAGCACAGUGAAUGCAAAAUCAAAAAUUGGAGCUCUUUUUCUGUUGUGUAAAAUGUUCACUCAGGGUUGUUUUUUUUUUUCUUUUCCUUCUUCUUCUUCUUUUCUUUGUAGUUGCUCAAAUUCAUAAUAAAACAGGAGAUAGUUCCUGGUUUGCAAACAUUCCCACUUCCCAAUUCUUCCUGAGCCAGUUCUUUAAACAAUGCCGUUUCAUCAUUUUCCUGUAGGUUAAUUCUUAGGACAUCAGAAUAGCUCUUUUCAAAAAAAAAAAAAAAAAGCUUUUAAAGUCAGUGAACCAAUAAAGAGUUCCU